rnacentral:rRNA from 1 species
UACGUAGGGGGCGAGCGUUAUCCGGAUUUACUGGGUGUAAAGGGAGCGUAGACGGUUCUGCAAGUCUGAAGUGAAAGCUCGUGGCUUAACCGCGGAACGGCUUUGGAAACUGUGGAACUGGAGUGCUGGAGAGGCAAGCGGAAUUCCUAGUGUAGCGGUGAAAUGCGUAGAUAUUAGGAGGAACACCAGUGGCGAAGGCGGCUUGCUGGACAGUAACUGACGUUGAGGCUCGAAAGCGUGGGGAGCAAACAGG